rnacentral:rRNA from 1 species
GAAUUCGAUUAGAGUUUGAUCAUGGCUCAGGAUGAACGCUGGCGGCGUGCUUAACACAUGCAAGUCGAACGAACCUUCGGGUUAGUGGCGGACGGGUGAGUAACGCGUGAGAAUCUGCCCUCAGGAGGGGGAUAACGGUUGGAAACGACCGCUAAUACCCCAUAUGCCUAUUGGUGAAAUGAAUUUCGCCUGAGGAUGAGCUCGCGUCUGAUUAGCUAGUUGGUGAGGUAAUGGCUCACCAAGGCUUCGAUCAGUAGCUGGUCUGAGAGGAUGAUCAGCCACACUGGGACUGAGACACGGCCCAGACUCCUACGGGAGGCAGCAGUGGGGAAUUUUCCGCAAUGGGCGAAAGCCUGACGGAGCAACGCCGCGUGAGGGACGAAGGCCUCUGGGCUGUAAACCUCUUUUCUCAAGGAAGAAGAUAUGACGGUACUUGAGGAAUAAGCCACGGCUAAUUCCGUGCCAGCAGCCGCGGUAAUACGGGAGUGGCAAGCGUUAUCCGGAAUUAUUGGGCGUAAAGCGUCCGCAGGCGGCUUUUCAAGUCUGCUGUUAAAACGUGGAGCUUAACUCCAUCAUGGCAGUGGAAACUGAAAGGCUUGAGUAUGGUAGGGGCAGAGGGAAUUCCCGGUGUAGCGGUGAAAUGCGUAGAUAUCGGGAAGAACACCAGUGGCGAAGGCGCUCUGCUGGGCCAUUACUGACGCUCAUGGACUGAAAGCCAGGGGAGCGAAAGGGAUUAGAUACCCCUGUAGUCCUGGCCGUAAACGAUGAACACUAGGUGUCGGGGGAAUCGACCCCUUCGGUGUCGUAGCAUAACGCGUUAAGUGUUCCGCCUGGGGAGUACGCACGCAAGUGUGAAACUCAAAGGAAUUGACGGGGGCCCGCACAAGCGGUGGAGUAUGUGGUUUAAUUCGAUGCAACGCGAAGAACCUUACCAGGGUUUGACAUCCUGCGAACCUCUUAGAAAUUCGAGGGUGCCUUCGGGAAUGCAGUGACAGGUGGUGCAUGGCUGUCGUCAGCUUGUGUUGUGAGAUGUUGGGUUAAGUCCCGCAACGAGCGCAACCCACGUUUUUAGUUGCCAGCAUUUAGUUGGGCACUCUAGAAAGACCGCCGGUGAUAAACCGGAGGAAGGUGUGGAUGACGUCAAGUCAUCAUGCCCCUUACACCCUGGGCUACACACGUACUACAAUGCUACGGACAAAGGGCAGCAAACUCGCGAGAGCUAGCAAAUCCCAUAAACCGUGGCUCAGUUCAGAUCGUAGGCUGCAACUCGCCUACGUGAAGUAGGAAUCGCUAGUAAUCGCAGGUCAGCAUAAGGCGGUGAAUACGUUCCCGGGCCUUGUACACACCGCC